rnacentral:rRNA from 1 species
UGGGGAAUUUUGGACAAUGGGGGCAACCCUGAUCCAGCCAUCCCGCGUGUGCGAUGAAGGCCUUCGGGUUGUAAAGCACUUUUGGCAGGGAAGAAACAGCCUGGGAUAAUACCCCGGGCGACUGACGGUACCUGCAGAAUAAGCACCGGCUAACUACGUGCCAGCAGCCGCGGUAAUACGUAGGGUGCAAGCGUUAAUCGGAAUUACUGGGCGUAAAGCGUGCGCAGGCGGUUCGGAAAGAAAGGUGUGAAAUCCCAGGGCUUAACCUUGGAACUGCACUUUUAACUACCGAGCUAGAGUACGUCAGAGGGGGGUAGAAUUCCACGUGUAGCAGUGAAAUGCGUAGAGAUGUGGAGGAAUACCGAUGGCGAAGGCAGCCCCCUGGGAUGAUACUGACGCUCAUGCACGAAAGCGUGGGGAGCAAACAGGAUUAGAUACCCUGGUAGUCCACGCCCUAAACGAUGUCAACUAGUUGUUGGGGAUUCAUUUCCUUAGUAACGUAGCUAACGCGUGAAGUUGACCGCCUGGGGAGUACGGUCGCAAGAUUAAAA